UGGCGGCGUGCCUAAUACAUGCAAGUCGAACGGUCUUUCUAUGGAAGCUUGCUUCCACUGAGAAGAUAGUGGCGAACGGGUGAGUAACACGUGGGUAACCUGCCCAUAAGAGGGGGGAUAACAUCCGGAAACGGGUGCUAAUACCGCAUAGUUUUCUUGAUCGCAUGAUCGGGAAAGGAAAGACGGCCUUUGUGCUGUCGCUUAUGGAUGGACCCGCGGCGUAUUAGUUAGUUGGUGAGGUAACGGCUCACCAAGACGAUGAUACGUAGCCGACCUGAGAGGGUGAUCGGCCACAUUGGGACUGAGACACGGCCCAAACUCCUACGGGAGGCAGCAGUAGGGAAUCUUCCGCAAUGGACGAAAGUCUGACGGAGCAACGCCGCGUGAGUGAAAGAAGGUUUUCGGAUCGUAAAACUCUGUUGUCAGAGAAGAACAAGUUGGAGAGUAACUGCUCCAGCCUUGACGGUAUCUGACCAGAAAGCCACGGCUAACUACGUGCCAGCCGCGGC
rnacentral:rRNA from 1 species